rnacentral:ncRNA from 2 species
CACUCUGGAGAGUCCCCGGGCCACAUGCCGGGGCGCCGAAGGGAUAGCGAUCUCAGGCGCAAGGACAGAGGG